rnacentral:lncRNA from 1 species
UGGCAAAGAAAUUUAACAGGAGUGAUACAUAAAGGAUAAGGAAAUGAAAACGGAUAUGAUUCAGUUAUGUGCAACGAAAAUUAAAACAGGUCUCCCAAAGAAAAAUAAGCCUUGAAAAAGAGAACCACCUCUGAGAAAGAUUUCAGAUAAUUCGGCUGCUGUUCAAGAAACUUUUGUGGCACCAUGCUUUCUAAGCAUCC